UCUCUCUCUCUCCUAAACUCCCUGCUUCUUCCUCUCUCCUCAAACCCGAUCCAGUUUCUGCCUCUCUCUCCUCAACCUCGCCGCUCAAAUUUUCCUCCGGCAAGGUUCUUGCACAAAAAUUCGGUUUGUAAAUGAGGUUUCGACAACGGAAGAGGGAGAAUCGGGGCCGUAGAAGAGGUGGAGGAGGGUGUCGGAGGUGGAAGCGUCAUUGAAACCGCCAGCGUCGCACCCUUGCUACUGUCGCAAUCGAAGCAUCUAUUUCGAAAUCCUUGGAAAGGGAAGCUUGACGGCGGAGGUUUCAGGAGAAACUAGAUUGACGGCGGCGAGGUGGAGGAAGGAGGCGGGACGGUUAGUCGGAGGGUUGUUGUUGGCAGUGUUUCAGAUGUGGUAGACUACUGGGUAACAUUUAAUGAGCCUCAUGUCUUUUGUAUGUUGACAUACUGUGCUGGUGCUUGGCCUGGCGGUAAUCCUGACAUGUUGGAGGCGGCAACGUCUGCUCUACCAACUGGUGUAUACAAUAAAACCAUGGACUGGAUUGCCAUUGCACACUCAAAAGCAUAUGAUUACAUCCAUGAACACAGGGGGUCUUGAUGAACCUGUAUGGCGCCCUUACGCUGACCGAGAUUAGUGAAUACAAUCAGCGGUUGCAUAAACCAUUUUGACAAAAGAGAGUUCGUCUGCUGUGGCGUUUUCUGCUAUGGUUUGAAGAUCAAAGGUGACAAUUCUCAGUUUCUUAUCAAGAGCAAGAUUGUUGUUCCAAAUUAGUAAUUGUUACCGAGUUUGUUAACAAUUUCUCUUUAAAGAUAUUUGGGCUGAUUACUUUAUGAGCAAUGUCGAUAUUUAGCUAGUUUAUUGUAAUAUUUACACUUAUGUUUAAAGUGUAGUUAGGUUAUCAACUUGUUGGUUGAUCUAUGGUGAAUUUGCCUUUUAUUAGGUUGUAAACUUUUUGACAGGUAUAUAUUUAUGAAUUAUAACA